GUGUUUUCUGGGACAGCAUAUAUACUAAAAUUUGAACUAUACAGAGAUUAGUGUGACACUUGUGCAAGGAUGACACACAAACUCAUAAAGUGUUAUAUUUUAAA
rnacentral:snRNA from 1 species